AGCAAGGCCACUACUGAGAGGAUCCUGGGUGCAGUGGGGAGAGAUGGAAGUUAUCUACUCCGAGACAGUGAGAGUUUACCCAACACCUACUGCCUAUGUGUUCCUAUGCAAAGACAUUGUCUACACCUACAGAGUGUUCCAAAUCAAUGAGGGUCCUGGACAGUUCAGACAAACCCUGGAGUACAGACACGAUUAUUCAGGAAGAUAAGCAAUUUGAUAGCUGCCUWUGGUAAUCCAAACCAGGGCCUGGAGAUGCCCCUCCUCUAUCCAGUUGAAAACCAACACACUGACCUGCAGUACCCAUGAGAUGAUGGCUCCUCUUCAAAGAUACAAACUUUGACAACAAUAUAUUUGAAGAACUGUGAAAUGAUUCAAAUUAAAUAAUUUGUGUAUUUAUUUUUUGGUUUUGUAUUCUGUUUAAAUCACGUUGUUUGAUUAACUAUUUUUUGCAUUAUGUCCAGUUCCAUUUAAA